CCCUUAGAUGUUCUGGGCCGCACGCGCGCUACACUGAUGCAUUCAACGAGUCUAAAACCUGCUCUGAUAGGGGUGGGUAAUCUUUUGAAUGUGCAUCGUGAUUGGGAUAGAUGAUUGCAAUUUUUCAUCUUCAACGAGGAAUGCCUAGUAAACGCUAGUCAUCAGCUUGCAUUGAUUACGUCCCUGCCCUUUGUACACACCGCCCGUCGCUCCUACCGAUUGAAUGAUCCGAUGAAUAUCAUGGAUUGAGGAUUAUAGCAGGUUCGCCUGUCUUGAUCUUCGAGAAGUGAAGUAAAUCUUAUCAUUUAGAGGAAGGAGAAGUCGUAACA
rnacentral:rRNA from 1 species